rnacentral:rRNA from 1 species
UACGUAGGGCGCAAGCGUUGUCCGGAAUUACUGGGCGUAAAGGGCGCGUAGGCGGCGCAACAAGUCACUUGUGAAAUCUCCGGGCUUAACCCGGAGCGGCCAAGUGAUACUGUCGUGCUAGAGUGCGGAAGGGGCUACUGGAAUUCUCGGUGUAGCGGUGAAAUUCGUAGAUAUGGGGAGGAACACCGGUGGCGAAGGCGGCCACCUGGACGGUAACUGACGCUGAGACGCGAAAGCGUGGGGAGCAAACAGG